rnacentral:rRNA from 1 species
CCUACGGGAGGCAGCAGUAGGGAAUCUUCCGCAAUGGACGCAAGUCUGACGGAGCAACGCCGCGUGAGUGACGAAGGUUUUCGGAUCGUAAAACUCUGUUGUGAGGGAAGAACACGUACCAACUAACUAUUGGUACCUUGACGGUACCUCACCAGAAAGCCACGGCUAACUACGUGCCAGCAGCCGCGGUAAUACGUAGGUGGCAAGCGUUGUCCGGAAUUAUUGGGCGUAAAGCGCGCGCAGGCGGUUCCUUAAGUCUGAUGUGAAAGCCCACGGCUCAACCGUGGAGGGUCAUUGGAAACUGGGGAACUUGAGUGCAGAAGAGGAAAGUGGAAUUCCACGUGUAGCGGUGAAAUGCGUAGAGAUGUGGAGGAACACCAGUGGCGAAGGCGACUUCCUGGUCUGUAACUGACGCUGAGGCGCGAAAGCGUGGGGAGCAAACAGGAUUAGAUACCCUGGUAGUCCACGCCGUAAACGAUGAGUGCUAAGUGUUAGGGGGUUUCCGCCCCUUAGUGCUGCNGCUACGACAUAAGUCGACUCCGCCGUCGGGAGGUACGGCCGGCGACGGAACGUAGUAAACGUUAAAGGUUAAAGUUAGUUACGGCGUGAGACGUUGCCGACGGACGACGACGAGGGAGGAGG